UGGGGAAUUUUGGACAAUGGGCGAAAGCCUGAUCCAGCAAUGCCGCGUGUGUGAAGAAGGCCUUCGGGUUGUAAAGCACUUUUGUCCGGAAAGAAAUCCUUGGCUCUAAUACAGUCGGGGGAUGACGGUACCGGAAGAAUAAGCACCGGCUAACUACGUGCCAGCAGCCGCGGUAAUACGUAGGGUGCAAGCGUUAAUCGGAAUUACUGGGCGUAAAGCGUGCGCAGGCGGUUUGCUAAGACCGAUGUGAAAUCCCCGGGCUCAACCUGGGAACUGCAUUGGUGACUGGCAGGCUAGAGUAUGGCAGAGGGGGGUAGAAUUCCACGUGUAGCAGUGAAAUGCGUAGAGAUGUGGAGGAAUACCGAUGGCGAAGGCAGCCCCCUGGGCCAAUACUGACGCUCAUGCACGAAAAGCGUGGGGGAGCAAAACAGGAUUAGAUACCCUGGUAGUCCACGCCCUAAACGAUGUCAACUAGUUGUUGGGGAUUCAUUUCCUUAGUAACGUAGCUAACGCGUGAAGUUGACCGCCUGGGGAGUACGGUCGCAAGAUUAAAACUCAAAUGAAUUGACGGGGUCAUAGCUG
rnacentral:rRNA from 1 species